UACGUAGGGUGCAAGCGUUAAUCGGAAUUACUGGGCGUAAAGCGUGCGCAGGCGGUUGUGCAAGACAGAUGUGAAAUCCCCGGGCUUAACCUGGGAACUGCAUUUGUGACUGCACGGCUAGAGUGUGUCAGAGGGGGGUAGAAUUCCACGUGUAGCAGUGAAAUGCGUAGAUAUGUGGAGGAAUACCGAUGGCGAAGGCAGCCCCCCUGGGAUAACACUGACGCUCAUGCACGAAAGCGUGGGGAGCAAACAGG
rnacentral:rRNA from 1 species